GCAGCAAAAAUCAAUCUUCUUCCAGCCUCAUCCUGGGCUCUCGAACGAGAACCCUCAGAAACCUGCUUGGAAGCAGUACCAGCAUGAGCAUUCUUUGAAGGACCCAAUCAAUCCUUGACAGAUACUCAUUGUGUAGACGAAGUCAUAGCCAUCGGGUAUCCUUUAGAGGUAACUGUUCUACUCUUCUUCACCAUGGAUUCCGACGUAGAGCAGCUACAAUUUGUGAUUGAAAACUUCAAGAACACUAGAACACAGCCCUCCUUCUAGCGCCAAUGUUAACGCCA
rnacentral:lncRNA from 1 species